rnacentral:rRNA from 1 species
GCAUCUAAGCGCGAAGCAGACCCCAAGAUUAGAUAUCAUAGAUUCCUUGUAGAUUACGAGGUUGAUAGGCUCUAGAUGUAAAUGUAGUAAUACAUGU